UACAGAGGUCCCAAGCGUUGUUCGGAUUCAUUGGGCGUAAAGGGUGCGUAGGUGGCGGGGUAAGUUGGAUGUGAAAUCCUGGGGCUCAACCCUAGAACUGCAUUCAAUACUGCCUUGCUGGAGUACUGGAGAGGAGAUUGGAAUUUACGGUGUAGCAGUGAAAUGCGUAGAUAUCGGAAGGAACACCAGUGGCGAAAGCGGCUUCCUGGUCCAGCACCGACGUUCAGGCACGAAAGCGUGGGGAGCAAACAGG
rnacentral:rRNA from 1 species